AUGCAUCAUAUAGAUAGCUUAUUUGCAUUGUUCAAAAAACUUUGUAGUCACAACGAUGAUGCAUACAUGUCAACUAUGGGUGUUGGCUCCAACAAUUCGCAUUGGUCUCAAACCAAUGACAUCCAUUUCAAAGACCAUGAGUUCUAGGUGGACGAGGAGGGUGAGGGCAUUGUCGACGCGCCAAAAGGAAGAGCGGGCAAUUACACCAACAAAGAUGACAUCUUACUAUGCAAUACUUGGUUGCAAGUGUCGAGGGAUCCAUCCGUUGGAGGUGAUCAAAGUAGAGAUGCUUAUUGGGGGCGGAUGAAAGAACACUUUGAUGCUCACAACGUGAGUGGAAUUGACCGCUCCGAGAGAUCACUUCGGUCCUGA
rnacentral:rRNA from 1 species